rnacentral:rRNA from 1 species
UACUCGAGUGCGAACGGGUGAGUAACACGUGGGUGAUCUGCCCUUCACUUCGGGAUAAGCCUGGGAAACUGGGUCUAAUACUGGAUAGGACCAUCGUUUAGUGUCGGUGGUGGAAAGUUUUUUCGGUGGAGGAUGAGCUCGCGGCCUAUCAGCUUGUUGGUGGGGUAAUGGCCUACCAAGGCGACGACGGGUAGCCGGCCUGAGAGGGUGGACGGCCACAUUGGGACUGAGACACGGCCCAG